rnacentral:lncRNA from 1 species
AAGUACCCAAAUCGUAAUCAAUUACAAAGGACAACUAAUUGUCACGGACUUAGUUGUUUACUAAGCUCGUGCGACACUUAGACAAGUCAAGACGCUUGAUCUUGCUAAGUCAGCCUUGAUCCCCAAUGCUUAGCUUGCUCGGCUAAGACACUUGCGACUCGAAAGCUUACGAGGCUUAGUAGGCAACUCCUUAAAGAAUGAAAGCUCUUUAUUACUCAGGGAAGCUUUUACAAGUGUUUGGAUGCUCACUUGCUUGGUGUCUUGGCCAAAUGAGGCCCUCACCUAUUUAUAGGCACCAAUGGAUCUCUCUAGAACCUUGGAGGGUUCCUUACAACUCAAGACUAAUGUAGAAUGUCCUACAUCAUUUUAGGUACAAGCCUAUAUACAAGUAUAUACAAGAGUCUUCUAGAUUUCUCUAGAAAGCCCCGGACUCCUCUCGUGCCUUCCACCAUAAUGUAGAAUUGUGUGGAUUCCUUUAGACUUCUCUAGAACCUUCCACACUCUUCCCACUCUAGGAGUCUCCAUAAGCUUCCUGGCUCUAUAUAAUGCCAUGGGGAGGCUCAUUUGGAUCAGCUUGUGACAUAAUGGUGGCUACUGGAAACCCACCGGUCCGGAUCGUAAAAUCAAGCGUGGGGCUACCGAAGAGGUGAUCGGUAUCAAGAAAACUUUGGUUUUUCAUGUGGACGGUGGCCGUGGCCAUGCGGACAUCAAUACCGGCUGGAUUAUCCACGAGUACCGCUCACUUAUGGCCUCCCUCCCUGCCA